GAUGAAGAACGUAGCGAAAUGCGAUAAGUAAUGCGAAUUGCAGAAUUCCGUGAGUCAUCGAAUCUUUGAACGCACAUUGCGCCCCCUGGCAUUCCGGGGGGCAUGCCUGUUCGAGCGUCAUUUCACCACUCAAGCCUCGCUUGGUAUUGGGCAACGCGGUCCGCCGCGUGCCUCAAAUCGACCGGCUGGGUCUUCUGUCCCCUAAGCGUUGUGGAAACUAUUCGCUAAAGGGUGUUCGGGAGGCUACGCCGUAAAACAACCCCAUUUCUAAGGUUGACCUCGGAUCAGGUAGGGAUACCCGCUGAACUUAAGCAUAUCGAUAAGCGGAGGA
rnacentral:misc_RNA from 1 species